rnacentral:rRNA from 1 species
CCUACGGGUGGCAGCAGUGAGGAAUAUUGGUCAAUGGACGAGAGUCUGAACCAGCCAAGUAGCGUGAAGGAUGACUGCCCUAUGGGUUGUAAACUUCUUUUAUAUGGGAAUAAAAUGUUCCACGUGUGGGAUUUUGUAUGUACCAUAUGAAUAAGGAUCGGCUAACUCCGUGCCAGCAGCCGCGGUAAUCCGGAGGAUCCGAGCGUUAUCCGGAUUUAUUGGGUUUAAAGGGAGCGUAGGUGGAUUGUUAAGGCAGUUGUGAAAGUUUGCGGCUCAACCAUAAAAUUGCAGUUGAAACUGGCAGUCUUGAGUACAGUAGAGGUGGGCGGAAUUCGUGGUGUAGCGGUGAAAUGCUUAGAUAUCACGAAGAACUCCGAUUGCGAAGGCAGUUCACUGGACUGCAACUGACACUGAGGCUCGAAAGUGUGGGUAUCAAACAGGAUUAGAUACCCGGGUAGUC